UCAUUUGACGUUAGCUGCAGAAGAAGCACCGGCUAACUCCGUGCCAGCAGCCGCGGUAAUACGGAGGGUGCGAGCGUUAAUCGGAAUUACUGGGCGUAAAGCGCAUGCAGGUGGUUUGUUAAGUCAGAUGUGAAAGCCCGGGGCUCAACCUCGGAAUUGCAUUUGAAACUGGCAGACUAGAGUACUGUAGAGGGGGGUAGAAUUUCAGGUGUAGCGGUGAAAUGCGUAGAGAUCUGAAGGAAUACCGGUGGCGAAGGCGGCCCCCUGGACAGAUACUGACACUCAGAUGCGAAAGCGUGGGGAGCAAACAGGAUUAGAUACCCUGGUAGUCCACGCCGUAAACGAUGUCUACUUGGAGGUUGUGGCCUUGAGCCGUGGCUUUCGGAGCUAACGCGUUAAGUAGACCGCCUGGGGAGUACGGUCGCAAGAUUAAAACUCAAAUGAAUUGACGGGGGCCCGCACAAGCGGUGGAGCAUGUGGUUUAAUUCGAUGCAACGCGAAGAACCUUACCUACUCUUGACAUCCUCAGAAGAGACUGGAGACAGUCUUGUGCCUUCGGGAACUGAGAGACAGGUGCUGCAUGGCUGUCGUCAGCUCGUGUUGUGAAAUGUUGGGUUAAGUCCCGCAACGAGCGCAACCCUUAUCCUUGUUUGCCAGCGAGUAAUGUCGGGAACUCCAGGGAGACUGCCGGUGAUAAACCGGAGGAAGGUGGGGACGACGUCAAGUCAUCAUGGCCCUUACGAGUAGGGCUACACACGUGCUACAAUGGCGCAUACAGAGGGCGGCCAACUUGCGAAAGUGAGCGAAUCCCAAAAAGUGCGUCGUAGUCCGGAUUGGAGUCUGCAACUCGACUCCAUGAAGUCGGAAUCGCUAGUAAUCGUAGAUCAGAAUGCUACGGUGAAUACGUUCCCGGGCCUUGUACACACCGCCCGUCACACCAUGGGAGUGGGCUGCAAAAGAAGUGGGUAGUUUAACCUUCGGGGGGACGCUCACCACUUUGUGGUUCAUGACUGGGGUGAAGUCGUAACAAGGUAGCGCUAGGGGAACCUGGCGCUGGAUCACCUCCUUA
rnacentral:rRNA from 1 species